rnacentral:tRNA from 1 species
AUUUGAAUAAUUUAAAUAAAAUAUUGAUUUGUGGUAUCAAAAAUAUGAGUUAAUCAUUUCAAGUU